ACUUAAUUAGUAUAAAAAGUAUUAUAGACUUCCAAUCUUUAGGUCCUAUUGGUGGAUUAAGUA
rnacentral:tRNA from 1 species